ACUCCUACGGGAGGCAGCAGUGGGAAUCUUGGACAAUGGGCAACCGUAGCAUCCAGCCAUGCCGCGUGAGUGAUGAAGGCCUUAGGGUCGUAAAGCUCUUUCGCCUGUGAAGAUAAUGACGGUAGCAGGUAAAGAAACCCGUCGUAACUCCGUGCCAGCAGCCGCGGUAAUACGGAGGGGUUAGCGUUGUUCGGAAUUACUGGGCGUAAAGCGCACGUAGGCGGAUCGGAAAGUU
rnacentral:rRNA from 1 species